ensembl:lncRNA
UAGGGAAAACAGUAUGGAGUUUCCUAUAAAAACUAAAAAUAGAGUAACUGUAUGAUCCGGCAAUCCCACUCCUGGGCAUAUAUCUAGAAAAAAUGAAAACACUAAUUCAAAAAGAUAUAUGCACCCCAAUGUUCAUAACAGAACUAUUUACAAUAGCCAAGACAUGAGGAAGCAUAAAUAUCCAUUAACAAAUGAAUGGAUAAAGAAGAUGUGGUAUAUUCAUAGAUUCUCUGGAUCUCAGUUUCUUCAUAUUUAAAAUUAGGAUUUUGGCUAAAUGUCUCUAAAACUCCUUCCAUUUCUAACUGCAUGUGAAUCUAUGCAUACAGCUGAAUUCAGGCUAACCUCAUCCUGUCUGUGACUAUCUUGGCCUUCUCAGUCUGACUCGUUAUCGGUAGGGAAAUUCCCACAACCCCAAAAUAGCCAUUAUUUUUUUAAUUCAAAAAUUAAAAUUCAACAACCUAGAUGGACCUUAAGGGCUCUAUGCUGAGUGAAAUAAAUCAGACAAGUAUCAUAUGAUCUCACUUACAUCUGGAAUCUAAAUCUUCCCCUCACCCACCUCCAAAGAACAAAAACAAAAAACAAGCUUACAGAUACAGAAGAGAGAUUUGGUGGUGUCAUUUGAUGGGAGUGCUGCAAAAUAGGUGAAGGGGAUCAGAAAAUAAACACUUCCAGUUAAGAAAUAAAUAAGUCAUCAGGAGGCAAUGUACAGCAUGAAUUGGAGAGAGUACUCAGAGAGUGUGUAUGUAACUACUUCCAUUUUUAAAAUACAUCAUUAUUUACAUUUGGAGUAUCUCCUUUGAUCUUCUCAAUAAGUGUAUAAAGUAAUGAAGCUGGUACUGUUAUCCUCAUUUGCAAGUGAAGGAAACAGUUUCAAAGAGUGCAGGGGAUGCAGGCGCGAUCCCUGGUCUGGAAACUAAGAUCCCACAUGCAUUGGAGCAACUAAGCCCAUUGCAACUACUGAGCCUGCAUGCCACAACUAGAGAGUCUGUGCGAUGCAAUGGAAGAUCCUGCAUGACACAGUGAAGAUCCCAUGUGCCACAACUAAGACACAAUGCAGGGCUUCCCUGGUGGCUCAGCAAUAAAGAAUCUGCCUGCCAAUGCAGAAGACACAGGUUCCAUCCCUGGUCUGGGAAGACCCCACAUGCCCCGAAGCAACUAAGCCCAUGAACCACAACUACUGGGCCAAUGACCCAGAGCCCAGGAACCGCAACUAUUGAGUCUGUGUGCUGCAACCACAGAAACCUACACAUUCUAGAGCCUAAGUGAGUAAGCACUGGGGCUCUGGAGUGAGACAGACCUAGGUUUAAAUCUCAGCCUGUUCACAAGCUGCAUCCCUGUAACCUGAUGGAUUGAGUUACUAAGGUGUUGACUCCCUCAUCUGUAAAACUGCUGUAGUAAUAGCACCUAUCAUACAAAGCUGUUAUGAGGUAUAUGCGCAUGCUUAGUCACUUCAGUUGUGUCCGACUCUCUGCGACCCUGUGGACCAUGACCUCCCAGGCUCCUCUGUCCAUGGGAUUCUCCAGGCAAGAGAACUGGAGUGGGCUGCCAUUUCCUUCUCCAAAUCUGACCUGAGAUGAGCCAAAUCGACCACCACAAGUAUGAAGUAUAUACAUAAAUUUAAAUGAAGAAGGUGUUAACAGUGUAUAUAAAUAGCUUAACACAAUGCCUGGCACUUUGGAAAUAACUGAUGUUAGUCAUAUUAUUGAAUCCCUUUAUCUUUCCUCAUAUUUCCUCAGAAAAUUUCAGAAACAUAGAAAAAAUUAUGUGAACAUGUUUUAAAGAGCACAUUUCCAGUGCAAGCGCUAUGAUUAUUUUUAUGCUCUUGCAUGUCCACCUUAGUCCAUUAUCAUUGAUCAGCCUGACAGCACUGAAGGGAAAGCAGCCACUAGGAGUAAGGACAGAGCUGCCCUCACCUUUCACAUAGUAAACGUGAACACAGCACUUGAGUUCCUCAAGAGAGAAUUAACUCAUAUUCCUCCUAACCCCAACAUCCUAGUGCAAAAUUGAGAUCCUUGAACUCAACAGAACAAAACGCUUCAAAAAGUCACCUAGAAGUCAACCAGCCGAAUCCCUUCAAUUCACAAAGAACCAAAGCCCAGAAAGGAAUCUACAACAAAUGCCAACCUAUCUUUCCAACAGACCCAGCUGUGCCAUUGAGGCUUGGUUAGACUUCCAGGGGAGCAGUGGCAGCAGUCCCUUUUCAAACCGAGCUACAGGCUGUUCAGACCAGGGUGGAUUUCUGCCUCAUUAGAGUCAGCAGAUGGCUUGGCUUUUCUACUCUGAAACUCCUUUUUUUCAUUUCUAUUUGUGCUAUUCUGUAUAGAACGUUAAAAAAUAAAUAGGAAGUGGGAGGUAGCCACUGCAAAAACAGGAUGGACCUUGCCAACAGUCCACAUUCCAUCUUCAUAAAUUACCCCCAUCCCCAUCAUCAAGAGGCACCAAAGACUGGAAAUUCAGUUGAAACCUGGAACCAGAACAAAGCUUAAAAUCUCUGGCUUAUUUUAUAUUCCAUUUCAACCAGCUUAAUUAAAACAAAAAAGCAUAUGGAAAGAAGUCCAGUUAUACAGAAGUGUAAACAUAGUGUGGCUCUCUUUUUCGAACUUCAGGAAAGGACAUCAAGUUUAACCUUAUAGUUUGGCUGGUACUCACAAGUGAAUUAAGAUGAAGCAAAGGGGCUCCCCUGGUGGCUAAGUGGUAAAGAACCCGCCUGCCAAUGCGGGAGACACGGGUCCCAUCCCUAAGGGAAGAUCCCACAUCACCCGAAGCAACUAAGCUUGUAUGCCACAACAUGAGCCCUUGCCCUGCCUGAGAGCCCAGGAACUGCAGCUACUCAGCCCAUGCACCACAACUGCUGAAGCCCGUGAGCCAUAGAGCCUGUGCUCCACAAGAGAAGCCACACAGUCAGAAGCCUGCACAUCAUGACUGCAGAGUAGCCCCUGCUCACCACAACUAUAGGAAAGCCCACACAACAACAAAGACUCAGCGC